rnacentral:rRNA from 1 species
AGAGUUUGAAAAGGACAAGGCUGAACAAGGUAAGGCGAGGUUAAGUACUAGAGUUUGAACAUGGCCAAGUCGUAACAAGGGAAGGAGUGACGUGGAAUGCGCGUUAUUCUACAAAAAGGACUGGGACAGGCACUGGGAACAGUGGCUAAUACUAAAUGAGCCUAAAAGUAUAAAGGGAAACCUGCCUUUUGAAUGGCUCGCGUUUGACAAGCUAGUUGGUGAGGUAAGAGCUCACCAAGGCAGCGAUCAGUAGCUGGUCUGAGAGGAUGACCAGCCACACUGGGACUGAGACACGGCCCAGACUCCUACGGGAGGCAGCAGUGGGGAAUUUUCCGCAAUGGGCGAAAGCCUGACGGAGCAAGACCGCGUGAGGGAAGAAGGCUCUUGGGUCGUAAACCUCUUUUAUCAGGGAAGAAAAAAAUGACGGUACCUGAAGAAUCAGCCUCGGCUAACUCCGUGCCAGCAGCCGCGGUAAUACGGAGGAGGCAAGCGUUAUCCGGAAUUAUUGGGCGUAAAGCGUCCGCAGGUGGCUUAUCAAGUCUGCUGUCAAAGAGUGGGGCUUAACCCCAUAAAGGCAGUGGAAACUGAGAAGCUAGAGUGCCGUAGGGGUAGAGGGAAUUCCCGGUGUAGCGGUGAAAUGCGUAGAGAUCGGGA